GGUAAAAUGGCUGAGUCUAGGCGAUAAAUUGUAAAUUUAUUUAGGGAUUUUAAUAAUUCUUUUACC
rnacentral:tRNA from 1 species